CUCCUUUGACGUUAGCGGCGGACGGGUGAGUAACACGUGGGUAACCUACCUAUAAGACUGGGAUAACUUCGGGAAACCGGAGUUAAUACCGGAUAAUAUUUCGAACCGCAUGGUUCGAUAGUGAAAGGUGGUUUUGCUAUCACUUAUAGAUGGACCCGCGCCGUAUUAGCUAGUUGGUAAGGUAACGGCUUACCAAGGCGACGAUACGUAGCCGACCUGAGAGGGUGAUCGGCCACACUGGAACUGAGACACGGUCCAGACUCCUACGGGAGGCAGCAGUC
rnacentral:rRNA from 1 species